GCACCCUUCGGGGUGAGUGGCAGACGGGUGAGUAACGCGUGGGAACCUACCUAUCGGUUCGGAAUAACGUUCGGAAACGGACGCUAAUACCGGAUACGUCCUUCGGGAGAAAGAUUUAUCGCCGAUUGAUGGGCCCGCGUUGGAUUAGCUAGUUGGUGUGGUAACGGCGCACCAAGGCGACGAUCCAUAGCUGGUCUAAGAGGAUGAUCAGCCACACUGGGACUGAGACACGGCCCAGACUCCUACGGGAGGCAGCAGUGGGGAAUAUUGGACAAUGGGCGCAAGCCUGAUCCAGCCAUGCCGCGUGAGUGAUGACGGCCUUAGGGUUGUAAAGCUCUUUCGCUAGGGAUGAUAAUGACAGUACCUAGUAAAGAAGCCCCGGCUAACUUCGUGCCAGCAGCCGCGGUAAUACGAAGGGGGCUAGCGUUGUUCGGAAUUACUGGGCGUAAAGCGCGCGUAGGCGGAUCAUUAAGUCAGGGGUGAAAUCCCGGGGCUCAACCUCGGAAUUGCCUCUGAUACUGGUGGUCUUGAGUCCGUGAGAGGUGAGUGGAACUCCGAGUGUAGAGGUGAAAUUCGUAGAUAUUCGGAAGAACACCAGUGGCGAAGGCGGCUCACUGGCACGGUACUGA
rnacentral:rRNA from 1 species